CCUACGGGCGGCAGCAGUGGGGAAUAUUGGACAAUGGGCGAAAGCCUGAUCCAGCCAUGCCGCGUGUGUGAAGAAGGCCUUCGGGUUGUAAAGCACUUUCAGUGGGGAAGAAAGCCUUGGGGCUAAUACCCUCGAGGAAGGACAUCACCCACAGAAGAAGCACCGGCUAACUCCGUGCCUGCAGCCGCGGUAAUACGGAGGGUGCGAGCGUUAAUCGGAAUUACUGGGCGUAAAGCGCGCGUAGGCGGUCUGAUAAGCCGGUUGUGAAAGCCCCGGGCUCAACCUGGGAACGGCAUCCGGAACUGUCAGGCUAGAGUGCAGGAGAGGAAGGUAGAAUUCCCGGUGUAGCGGUGAAAUGCGUAGAGAUCGGGAGGAAUACCAGUGGCGAAGGCGGCCUUCUGGACUGACACUGACGCUGAGGUGCGAAAGCGUGGGUAGCAAACAGGAUUAGAUACCCCAGUAGUC
rnacentral:rRNA from 1 species